rnacentral:tRNA from 1 species
GUUACUGUAGCUUAAUAAAUUUAAAGCGCGGCCCUGAAGUUGCCGCGAUGGAUACCCCCAUUUUCCCGGAAACA